rnacentral:lncRNA from 1 species
UCCGAUCGAACAGCUCUGCAAACAGCUCUUCCUCGACGCCAUGAUUCACCAGGUAGAAGAAACCACACUCUAUGCAUGCCUGUGUAAAUACAAGUAUGCAAUAAUUAUAGGGAUAUAUACAUACACACACACAAAUAUAAUUCAAGCUAAAUUCAAUAAAAGAAAAACUAAUUUUCAGAGAAAUUUGAGGUUUUGGUGUAAUAUUGGAAGAAGGGAGAGCGAGAACCUGACGGAUUGAAUUGGCGGAGGAGAUGGAAUCUGAUGAGGACAAGUCAAUGAUCGGCAGGUUCACCGCCGCCGUCGUCAUCUGCUUCCUUACACUUUUUAGUCCUCCUGCUUUUCAAAUCUCACGACAAAGAAAAUAGCCCCUCGCUCAGUCAGCACUCGAC